UACAGAGGGUGCAAGCGUUGUUCGGAAUUAUUGGGCGUAAAGGGAGUGUAGGCGGUUUGGAAAGUCUUCUGUGAAAUCUACGGGCUUAGCCUGUAAAGUGCAGAGGAAACUACCAGGCUUGAGUGUCGGAGAGGAUAGGGGAAUACCCAGUGUAGAGGUGAAAUUCGUAGAGAUUGGGUGGAACACCAGUGGCGAAGGCGCCUAUCUGGCUGACAACUGACGCUGAGACUCGAAAGCAUGGGGAGCAAACAGG
rnacentral:rRNA from 1 species